CAGUAUUGAACAUAUUUGAUCAGUUGUGGACAAAAAGCAGUUGCGUCACGUUUCAGUCUCCACGUGGAGAAAUCGGUUCACGUGAGUUACGUAACGUUUGCUGUGUGACAUCAUCACGUCAUCACGCUCCGUCACACUCUGACAACCGGCCGUCUGUUCGUGUGCACAAACACUCCGGAGUGAAACAGGAGGAGACAAACGAGAGAGGAGGUUCUGAUGUUCUGUUCGGUUCUGCACCUCCAGAUCGUUGACUCGUUCACAGCUGACUGUGUAGUAGUGUGAUGUAGUUAAAGCCUUCAAAGUAAAAGCAGAGUCAGUAAAACGUGACUGCAGCGACUCAUUCAGGGAAGUUUGCCAUCGACUUCAACCAUUAGCAGAAAAAGAUUUAUCAUUUUGACCAAACCUACGUUCAUCCUCACGACCAUCUGUCCAUCAUUUCCAUCAUCCCACUCCACCUCCCAGUGACGCGGUCCAGUCAGAACCUGAUUACAUGCGGUGACCCUGUCUGGGUCAACUGAUUUUUACUGACGAGAACAAACCAGAUCAGCUGCUGCUGAGGUUCAUUUCUUCUCUAACUUAAAUCAAUGAAUCAAACAAAUCUUUGUUUAUUUUUGCAUUUUAUAUAUUUUGUUUAUUUUAUUAACAAGAAGACUUUAAUAAGUGAAACUGAAGCCUGUCGUCUCUGAGAAUCAUAAACAGAACGAGCAUUAAUGAAGCUGAUGAUUUCUGCUUGUCUUGAUUAAAAUGAUGUCGUCUGUCUGUUUAUGUCGACGACUCCUGAGAGAUUUCAACCUCUGAACGUCACUCGAUCCCCUGAAACUGUCAGAUAUCUUCACACUGUGAUGGAAGUCUGACUGUAGAAGGAAACGUGGAGAGAUCGUAUCGAUAGGAAAGUAUUUUAUUCUUCAUGUUGGUCUGAAAGUCGGGAAUAAAAGUGUGAAGAAAAACUAAUGUGGCAGUUAAAUAUCAGGAAGCUACAGAGGAGACCAAGUUAUAAAUGUUGGAGAUCCUCCUUCACCUUCAGUCUUUAUCCUCCAGGUGGCGCUGCAGACGAGUGAAAGUCAUCAAGGAGCAUUGAGUAAAGCCAGGCUGGGAUAUUAAUGUUAUUUAAUGACUACAUUUGUUGGUACCCUUCACUAACAUCUAUAUCUGUCUGACCACGUUCAUGAUCCUGGAUUAAAACGCUUCAUCACAGA